CCUACGGGAGGCAGCAGUAGGGAAUAUUGCUCAAUGGGGGAAACCCUGAAGCAGCAACGCCGCGUGGAGGAUGAAGGUUUUCGGAUUGUAAACUCCUUUUGUUAGAGAAGAUAAUGACGGUAUCUAACGAAUAAGCACCGGCUAACUCCGUGCCAGCAGCCGCGGUAAUACGGAGGGUGCAAGCGUUACUCGGAAUCACUGGGCGUAAAGAGCGUGUAGGCGGGAUAGCAAGUCAGAUGUGAAAUCCUAUGGCGUAAACAUAGAACUGCAUUUGAAACUGUUAUUCUAGAGUAUGGGAGAGGUAGGGGGAAUUCUUGGUGUAGGGGUAGAAACGGUAGAGAACAAGAGGAAUACUCAUUGCGAAGGCGAGCUGAUAGAACAUAACUGACGCUGGUGCGCGAAAGCGUUGGGAGCAAACAGGGUUAGAUACCCGAGUAGUC
rnacentral:rRNA from 1 species